rnacentral:rRNA from 1 species
GACGUAGGUGGCGAACGUUAUCCGGAAUUAUUGGGCGUAAAGGGUGCGUAGAUGGCCUGAUAAGUUAGCAGUGGGAAAUCGAGGCUCAACCUCGUGGAAGCUGGUAAUACUGUCAGGCUCGAGUGCAGAAGAGGUUAACGGAACUCCAUGUGGAGCGGUAAAAUGUGUAGAUAUAUGGAGGAACACCAGUGGCGAAGGCGACUCUUUGGCCUGUAACUGACACUGAGGCGCGAAAGCGUGGGGAGCAAACAGG